GGGCGUACGGUGAAUGCCUUGGUACUAGGAGCCGAUGAAGGACGGGACGAACACCGAUAUGCUCCGGGGAACUGUAAGUAAGUUUUGAUCCGGAGAUUUCCGAAUGGGGCAACCCACCAUAUUGAGAAGUAUGGUAUACACUAAGUGAAUACAUAGCUUAGUGUAAGGGACACGCGGUGAACUGAAACAUCUCAGUAGCUGCAGGAAGAGAAAACAAAUGUGAUUCCCAUAGUAGCGGCGAGCGAAAUGGGAAGAGGCCAAACGAUCAUGCUUGCAUGAUCGGGUUGUAGGACUCAAAAAUGGACGAUUGUUGUUAGUUGAACACGUUGGAGAGCGUGGCCAAAGAAGGUGACAGCCCUGUAGGCGAAAACAACAUGAACCAAUGAGGAUCCUGAGUACGGCGGAACACGAGAAAUUCCGUCGGAAUCAGCCGGGA
rnacentral:rRNA from 1 species